rnacentral:rRNA from 1 species
GAUGAACGCUAGCGGCAGGCUUAAUACAUGCAAGUCGAGGGGUAGCAAGAUUGUAGCAAUACAAUUGUUGACGACCGGCAAACGGGUGCGGAACACGUACACAACCUUCCUACAAGUGGGGAAUAGCCCAGAGAAAUUUGGAUUAAUACCCCGUAACAUAGCGAUGUGGCAUCACAUUGCUAUUAUAGCUUCGGCGCUUGUUGAUAGGUGUGCGGCUGAUUAGAUAGUUGGCGGGGUAACGGCCCACCAAGUCUACGAUCAGUAGCUGAUGUGAAGAGCAUGAUCAGCCACAAGGGCACUGAGACACGGGCCCGACUCCUACGGGAGGCAGCAGUAAGGAAUAUUGGACAAUGGACGCAGGUCUGAUCCAGCCAUGCCGCGUGAAGGAUUAAAGUCCUCUGGAUUGUAAACUUCUUUUAUAAGGGACGAAAAAAGGUCUUUCUAGAUCGUCUGACGGUACCUUAUGAAUAAGCACCGGCUAACUCCGUGCCAGCAGCCGCAGUAAUAC